UGUGGCUCAGUGGUUGAGCAUUGACUUAUAAACCAAGGGAUCACUGGUUUAAUUCCAGUCA
rnacentral:tRNA from 1 species